rnacentral:lncRNA from 1 species
UGCACAGUCACAAGCUAGGAGAAACAUUCUUUCAAGCAUAUACAAAUGUAUACACUAACUAAGAUUUUACUUGAAUCAACACUAUAAAAGAAAAAAAUAAUAUAUGAAUAUAUUGAUCAACUACACAAUAUAAGAAAAGAAAUCUCACAAGAGUGAUUGUCUUUGUUCACACAACUGAUCGAGUGUGGCAGCAAACCAACACUAGCGUCCCUCGGCUGUGUGCACUGCUUAUCGGUUUCCAGGUCUGUCGUCGUGCCCGUCCGCAGGCAAAGGAACAGAUUUGUAAGCACAAAAUUCUGUCACGAGCUUUUUUGGACUUCGUGAGUAGUAUGGGUUGGAGAAAGAAAAAGAAAUAUGCAAGAG